rnacentral:rRNA from 1 species
AUUGAACGCUGGCGGCAGGCCUAACACAUGCAAGUCGAGCGGAGCGGCGGACGGGUGAGUAAUGCCUAGGAAUCUGCCUGGUAGUGGGGGAUAACGUCCGGAAACGGGCGCUAAUACCGCAUACUAUCAGAUGAGCCUAGGUCGGAUUAGCUAGUUGGUGGGGUAAAGGCCUACCAAGGCGACGAUCCGUAACGGGUGCGAGAGGAUGAUCAGUCAAUCGGGAACUGAGACACGGCACAAACUCCUACGGGAGUGAGCUGUGGGAAAUAUUGGACAAUGGGCGAAAGCCGCAUGCAACCAUGCCGCGUGUGUGAAGAAGGUCCGCGAAUUGAAAAGCACUUUAUGUUGGGAGACGUAACCAACAGAAAAAGCACGGGCAAACUUCGUGCCAGCAGCCGCGGAAAUA